CCAAAACAACAGAACUAUCGCACAAAGCGUCUAGUUCUGGGACUUCCAGUUAGGCCGCUAGGGGAUCUUUGACCUCACUUCUGGCCAGUGGAGCAAGGAGCAGCGGAAUGGGGCAGGGGAUGCAUCUCUGGAGGCCCUGUGAUCGCCAUUCCCAGCAAUGAAAGAAGUCACUGAAGAGAAGAGGUCAAACCGAGAGAGAAGGAAAGAGGCUGACUAUUGCCUUUUUAAUAUUAUCCGGUUCUAACUAUGUAGCCACAGCCAAUCAAAGGGACUCCUUGUAAUAAUGUGGCAAGUGAACUGUAACCAGUUACAGAACAUCUGCGCAUCCAAAGUCUCUCCAAGGUAAUUCCAUUAUGUCUCCUUCUGGGCUCAGUGGCUGGUCUCCCACUUAGAUAUGAAAUUGAGAACUUCUGUCAAAUCCAGAUUAUUUAAAAAUGUGCAUGAAAUUUUUCAUGGUGGUAGUUGAACAUUUAUUAAGAAAAUAGGUAAAUAAUUCUAUACCUAUUCAGCAGAAUUU
rnacentral:lncRNA from 1 species